GCCCAGACUCCUACGGGAGGCAGCAGUGGGGAAUAUUGCACAAUGGGGGAAACCCUGAUGCAGCAACGCCGCGUGAGUGAUGACGGCCUUCGGGUUGUAAAGCUCUGUCUUCAGGGACGAUAAUGACGGUACCUGAGGAGGAAGCCACGGCUAACUACGUGCCAGCAGCCGCGGUAAUACGUAGGUGGCAAGCGUUGUCCGGAAUUACUGGGUGUAAAGGGAGCGCAGGCGGGAAGCCAAGUCAGCUGUGAAAACUACGGGCUUAACCUGUAGACUGCAGUUGAAACUGGUUUUCUUGAGUGAAGUAGAGGUUGGCGGAAUUCCGAGUGUAGCGGUGAAAUGCGUAGAUAUUCGGAGGAACACCGGUGGCGAAGGCGGCCAACUGGGCUUUAACUGACGCUGAGGCUCGAAAGUGUGGGGAGCAAACAGGAUUAGAUACCCUAGUA
rnacentral:rRNA from 1 species